rnacentral:rRNA from 1 species
AUUGAACGCUGGCGGCAGGCCUAACACAUGCAAGUCGAGCGGCAGCGGGAAAGUAGCUUGCUACUUUUGCCGGCGAGCGGCGGACGGGUGAGUAAUGCCUGGGAAAUUGCCCAGUCGAGGGGGAUAACAGUUGGAAACGACUGCUAAUACCGCAUACGCCCUACGGGGGAAAGCAGGGGACCUUCGGGCCUUGCGCGAGUGGAUAUGCCCAGGUGGGAUUAGCUAGUUGGUGAGGUAAUGGCUCACAAAGGCGACGAUCCCUGGCUGGUCUGGGAGGAUGAUCAACCACGCUGGGACUGAGACACGGUCCAGACUCCUACGGGAGGCAGCAGUUGGGAAUAUUGCACAAUGGGGGAAACCCUGAUGCAGCCAUGCCGCGUGUGUGAAGAAGGCCUUCCGGUUGUAAAGCACUUUCAGCGAGGAGGAAAGGUUGUUGGCUAAUAUCCAACAGCUGUGACGUUACUCGCAGAAGAAGCACCGGCUAACUCCGUGCCAGCCGCCGCGGUAAAAC